AAAUUCUGUGUCCUUCGUCACAAUUUGUGUAUUAGCUGUUGGUGUGAACAGAUUUGUUGCUGCAUGAAAUUCUCAUUAUAUAUCAGGUAAAGGUGUUCCCAAUAACCUAGCAGUCUCAAACAACCAGACAACUCCUGUUAGUGCUUCUUCAGUACCUAGUGUAGAAGCUGCAGUUGAUAACUAUCAUGCACAUCAGGGACAUUUGACUAUAGCUAGUCAAUUUGGAAGUGAUCCUUUAAGAGAGAGACAAGACUUGAUUUUAUUGAGAGAGCAGCAGUUUUUGCAAAGAUACUGCUUUGAAGAUAUUUUCACUAACUCAAUAUCAGGAGAUCACUCACAGCUGGUCAAUUCAAUAUGCUUUUUUAUUGACAUUACAAUCAGGUUUUCUAAUUUAGUGUGAUGUGUGUGUCAUUUAUGCAUUGAUUUAGUUCAUAAUUAUAAUGUUACUGAAUUUGACCACUUAUAGCUAAUGCCUUACUUUAAAUAUAAUCUUGCUAAAAAAUUA